rnacentral:rRNA from 1 species
CCCUUAGAUGUUCUGUGCCGCACGCGCGCUACACUGAUUCAUGCAACAAGUUUUGUCCUUGGCUGAUAGGCCUGGGUAAUCUUUGAACGUGAAUCGUGAUGGGGAUAGAUGAUUGCAAUUAUUCAUCUUCAACGAGGAAUUCCUAGUAAACGCAAGUCAUCAGCUUGCAUUGAUUACGUCCCUGCCCUUUGUACACACCGCCCGUCGCACCUACCGAUUGAAUGGUCCGGUGAAAUCUUCGGAUCUGAGAGAUGUCUGAUUAAUUUCGGACGCCUUUUGGAAAAGUUGUUUAAACCUUACCAUUUAGAGGAAGGUGAANUCGUAACA